AACGAACGCUGGCGGCAUGCCUAACACAUGCAAGUCGAACGAGACCUUCGGGUCUAGUGGCGCACGGGUGCGUAACGCGUGGGAAUCUGCCUUUUGGUUCGGAAUAACUGUUAGAAAUGACUGCUAAUACCGGAUGAUGACUUCGGUCCAAAGAUUUAUCGCCAGAGGAUGAGCCCGCGUAGGAUUAGGUAGUUGGUGGGGUAAAGGCCUACCAAGCCGACGAUCCUUAGCUGGUCUGAGAGGAUGAUCAGCCACACUGGGACUGAGACACGGCCCAGAAUCCUUCGGGAGGCAGCUGUGGGGAAUAUUGGACAAUGGGCGCAAGCCUGAUCCAGCAAUGCCGCGUGAGUGAUGAAGGCCUUCGGGUCGUAAAGCUCUUUUACCAGGGAUGAUAAUGACAGUACCUGGAGAAUAAGCUCCGGCUAACUCCGUGCCAGCCGCCGCGGUAAUAC
rnacentral:rRNA from 1 species